rnacentral:rRNA from 2 species
AACUUUUAAUAACAAAUCUCUUAAUUCUAAUAUUAAUAAAGAACGUAGCGAAAUACAAUAAGUAAUAUAAAUUAUAGAAUUUAGUAAAUUAUUAAAUCUUUAAACGUAUAUUACACUUACUAAUAUUCUAGUAAGUAUAUUUAUUUAAACGUUA